GUUCCACUGCAGCAGGGCUGAAGAAGACCGUCUUCCCUUCUAGCCUGGUGAUCAGAACAGGUUGUGACGUCAUCAACAGUGCAGCAGAAGAAGUCACCUGCUGCACAUGAGGCUGCUCUGCACACCGACACAGCGUGGUGUGAACUGAACAAGGAUGGAGAGGAUUCAGUGUUCCUGUGGCGUCUGGAUCAGGAGCUGUGUUGCCAGAUCUAUUGACAGAAACAAGCAACUGGGUCUACAGAAACAAGUCCAAACAGCGCCGUCUCAGCAGCACAGACAGGACAGGCAGUGGUUUCACCUGCCAACGGGACAUGGCUUCGAACUCACAACAAGGACUUCUUUUUUUGGCAGAACGUCUGGCAAAUCCAUCCUGUUGUCCUGACAUCUGCACUGACUCAAAUGUCCAGGUCUUAUCACUUGGUGAAUAAAAACAUUUCCACCCUCCUCUCAGGGGUCUCUU